ACUGAACGCUGGCGGCAUGCUUUACACAUGCAAGUCGAACGGCAGCACAGGGAGCUUGCUCCCGGGUGGCGAGUGGCGCACGGGUGAGUAAUACAUCGGAACGUGUCCUGUUGUGGGGGAUAACUGCUCGAAAGGGUGGCUAAUACCGCAUGAGACCUGAGGGUGAAAGCGGGGGAUCGCAAGACCUCGCGCAAUUGGAGCGGCCGAUGCCCGAUUAGCUAGUUGGUGAGGUAAAGGCUCACCAAGGCGACGAUCGGUAGCUGGUCUGAGAGGACGACCAGCCACACUGGGACUGAGACACGGCCCAGACUCCUACGGGAGGCAGCAGUGGGGAAUUUUGGACAAUGGGGGCAACCCUGAUCCAGCCAUGCCGCGUGCAGGAUGAAGGCCUUCGGGUUGUAAACUGCUUUUGUCAGGGACGAAAAGGACCGUGUUAAUACCAUGGUCUGCUGACGGUACCUGAAGAAUAAGCACCGGCUAACUACGUG
rnacentral:rRNA from 1 species